rnacentral:misc_RNA from 1 species
CCCUGCAAAAGGGGCAAAGAAAGUAAGUUGCUUGUACUUUAUUGUCUUACACUAGACUUUGCAUUGAAGAAAUAUCUUUGAAGAAUACUAGUUAGUUGUGCAUUGCUUCCAAUGAAUGGCAUCAAAAUGUGUUGUAUUAUGUUUUUUCUUGUUGCAUGCACGUCCGAACGUGAUUUUAAAAUUGGAUGGAUAAAUGAAAAGAGAACAUUGACUAAAGUUCAUGUAUAGGCCAUUGUUAUGCUAUUUCUCUAUAUCCUUGGUGUUUUGUUAUUUUAAACAUUGUUUCCAG